UACGAAGGGGGCUAGCGUUGCUCGGAAUCACUGGGCGUAAAGGGUGCGUAGACGGCUAUCUAAGUCGGGUGUGAAAGCCCCGGGCUCAACCUGGGAAUUGCAUUCGAGACUGAAUAGCUAGGGUACGGUAGAGGGAAGUGGAAUUUCCGGUGUAGCGGUGAAAUGCGUAGAUAUCGGAAGGAACAUCAGUGGCGAAGGCGGAUCUCUGGACAGUUACUGACACUGAGGCACGAAGGCCAGGGGAGCAAACGGG
rnacentral:rRNA from 1 species